rnacentral:rRNA from 1 species
UUAUGGCUCAGGAUGAACGCUGGCGGCGUAGCCUAACACAUGCAAGUCGAGCGAUCUCUCGGAGAAGAGCGGCGGACGGGUGAGUAACGCGUGGGUAACCUGUCUCAUACACAUGGAUAACAUACCGAAAGGUAUGCUAAUACAGGAUAAUAUAAGAGAUUCACAUGGAUUUCUUAUCAAAGCUCCGGCGGUAUGAGAUGGACCCGCGUCUGAUUAGCUAGUUGGUAAGGUAACGGCUUACCAAGGCGACGAUCAGUAGCCGACCUGAGAGGGUGAUCGGCCACAUUGGAACUGAGACACGGUCCAAACUCCUACGGGAGGCAGGCAGUGGGGAAUAUUGCACAAUGGGCGAAAGCCUGAUGCAGCAACGCCGCGUGAGUGAUGAAGGCCUUCGGGUCGUAAAACUCUGUCCUCAAGGAAGAUAAUGACGGUACUUGAGGAGGAAGCCCCGGCUAACUACGUGCCAGCCGCCGC